CACAUGCAAUUCCAACGGAAAGGUCUCUUCGGAGAUACUCGAGUGGCGAACGGGUGAGUAACACGUGGGCGAUCUGCCCUGCACUUCGGGAUAAGCCUGGGAAACUGGGUCUAAUACCGGAUAGGACCACGGGAUUCAUGUCCUGUGGUGGAAAGCUUUUGCGGUGUGGGAUGGGCCCGCGGCCUAUCAGCUUGUUGGUGGGGUAACGGCCUACCAAGGCGACGACGGGUAGCCGGCCUGAGAGGGUGUCCGGCCACACUGGGACUGAGAUACGGCCCAGACUCCUACGGGAGGCAGCAGUGGGGAAUAUUGCACAAUGGGCGCAAGCCUGAUGCAGCGACGCCGCGUGGGGGAUGACGGCCUUCGGGUUGUAAACCUCUUUCACCAUCGACGAAGGUUCGGGUUUUCUCGGAUUGACGGUAGGUGGAGAAGAAGCACCGGCCAACUACGUGCCAGCAGCCGCGGUAAUACGUAGGGUGCGAGCGUUGUCCGGAAUUACUGGGCGUAAAGAGCUCGUAGGUGGUU
rnacentral:rRNA from 1 species